rnacentral:hammerhead_ribozyme from 1 species
AUCUAACAGACAAGUUCAAAAUAGAACGAAACGUGCAUCCUGGAU